rnacentral:rRNA from 1 species
AUUGAACGCUGGCGGCAUGCCUUACACAUGCAAGUCGAACGGUAACAGGUUAAGCUGACGAGUGGCGAACGGGUGAGUAAUGUAUCGGAACGUGCCCAGUCGUGGGGGAUAACUGCUCGAAAGAGCAGCUAAUACCGCAUACGACCUGAGGGUGAAAGCGGGGGAUCGCAAGACCUCGCGCGAUUGGAGCGGCCGAUAUCAGAUUAGGUAGUUGGUGGGGUAAAGGCCUACCAAGCCUACGAUCUGUAGCUGGUCUGAGAGGACGACCAGCCACACUGGGACUGAGACACGGCCCAGACUCCUACGGGAGGCAGCAGUGGGGAAUUUUGGACAAUGGACGCAAGUCUGAUCCAGCCAUGCCGCGUGCGGGAAGAAGGCCUUCGGGUUGUAAACCGCUUUUGUCAGGGAGGAAAAGGUUCUGGUUAAUACCUGGGACUCAUGACGGUACCUGAAGAAUAAGCACCGGCUAACUACGUGCCAGCCGCCGCUGUAAAAC